rnacentral:rRNA from 1 species
AUUGAACGCUGGCGGCAGGCCUAACACAUGCAAGUCGAGCGGAUGAAGGGAGCUUGCUCCUGGAUUCAGCGGCGGACGGGUGAGUAAUGCCUAGGAAUCUGCCUGGUAGUGGGGGAUAACGUCCGGAAACGGGCGCUAAUCCCGCAUACGUCCUGAGGGAGAAAGUGGGGGAUCUUCGGACCUCACGCUAUCAGAUGAGCCUAGGUCGGAUUAGCUAGUUGGUGGGGUAAAGGCCUACCAAGGCGACGAUCCGUAACUGGUCUGAGAGGAUGAUCAGUCACACUGGAACUGAGACACGGUCCAGACUCCUACGGGAGGCAGCAGUGGGGAAUAUUGGACAAUGGGCGAAAGCCUGAUCCAGCCAUGCCGCGUGUGUGAAGAAGGUCUUCGGAUUGUAAAGCACUUUAAGUUGGGAGGAAGGGCAGUAAGUUAAUACCUUGCUGUUUUGACGUUACCAACAGAAUAAGCACCGGCUAACUUCGUG